rnacentral:rRNA from 1 species
UACGUAGGGUGCAAGCGUUGUUCGGAAUCAUUGGGCGUAAAGCGCGUGUAGGUGGUUUGGAAAGUCGAUUGUGAAAUACCUGGGCUUAACCGAGGAAGUGCAGUCGAAACUUCCAAACUAGAGAUUGGUAGAGGAAGGUGGAAUUCCAAGUGUAGAGGUGAAAUUCGUAGAUAUUUGGAGGAAUACCGGUGGCGAAGGCGGCCUUCUGGGCCACAUCUGACACUGAGACGCGAAAGCGUGGGGAGCAAACAGG